CCUACGGGUGGCAGCAGUGAGGAAUAUUGGUCAAUGGGCGCGAGCCUGAACCAGCCAAGUCGCGUGAGGGAAGACGGUCCUAUGGAUUGUAAACCUCUUUUGUCGGGGAGCAAAAGACUCCCCGCGUGGCCUUCCGAGAGUACCCGAAGAAAAAGCAUCGGCUAACGCCGUUCCAGCAGCCGCGGUACUACGGGGGAUGCGAGCGUUAUCCGGAUUGAUUGGGUUUAAAGGGUGCGAAGGCGGAAGAUCAAGUCAGCGGUAAAAUUGAGAGGCUCAACCUCUUCGAGCCGUUGAAACUGGUUCUCUUGAGUGAGCGAGAAGUAGGCGGAAUGCGGGGUGUAGCGGUGAAAUGCAUAGAUAUCACGAAGAACUCCGAUUGCGAAGGCAGCAUACCGGCGCUCAACUGACGCUCAUGCACGAAAGUGUGGGUAUCGAACAGGAUUAGAUACCCCGGUAGUC
rnacentral:rRNA from 1 species